CAGAGUAGAAGGCUCGGCGUGAAGUGCCGCGCGGACGGGGAGUUGCCGUGCGGACGAAGAAACGGAGUUUCGCGGUCGCGCCUUCGCAUCCCGCUGU
rnacentral:ncRNA from 1 species